GACGAACGCUGGCGGCGUGCUUAACACAUGCAAGUCGAGCGGAAAGGCCCUUUCGGGGGUACUCGAGCGGCGAACGGGUGAGUAACACGUGAGUAAUCUGCCCUUCACUUGGGGAUAACCACCGGAAACGGUGGCUAAUACCCGAUAUGACAGUUGCCCGCAUGGGUGGUUGUGGAAAGUUUUUUCGGUGGGGGAUGUGCUCGCGGCCUAUCAGCUUGUUGGUGGGGUAAUGGCCUACCAAGGCUUCGACGGGUAGCCGGCCUGAGAGGGUGACCGG
rnacentral:rRNA from 1 species